CGGAUACUCUCUCCGUCUGAAAAUACUUGUCCCUUAAAUGGAUGUAUGUAGCAUCAAGUUAGUGCUAGAUACAUUCAUUUCAGGAACAAGUUUGGGACAAAAAUUUUCGGACAAAGAGAGUACUUA
rfam:Triticum urartu cultivar G1812 contig976100, whole genome shotgun sequence.